UUAAGUGACUAAGCGUACACGGUGGAUGCCUUGGCAGUCAGAGGCGAUGAAAGACGUAGUAACUUGCGAUAAGCCCAGAUUAGGUAGUAACAACCAUUUGAGUCUGGGAUUUCUGAAUGGGGAAACCCACUUACAUAAGUAAGUAUCAUUAAUUGAAUACAUAGGUUAAUGAGGCGAACCGGGGGAACUGAAACAUCUAAGUACCCCGAGGAAAAGAAAUCAACCGAGAUUCCGAAAGUAGCGGCGAGCGAAAUUGGACUAGCCCUUAAGCUUUACACGCGUUAGACGAACGGUCUGGAAAGUCCGACGAUACAGGGUGAUAGUCCCGUAGUUGACGACGUGUGUUCAGUGAAAUCGAGUAGGGCGGGACACGUGAUAUCCUGUCUGAAUAUGGGGGGACCAUCCUCCAAGGCUAAAUACUACUGACUGACCGAUAGUGAACCAGUACCGUGAGGGAAAGGCGAAAAGAACCCCUGUGAGGGGAGUGAAAUAGAACCUGAAACCGUGUACGUACAAGCAGUAGGAGCAGGCUUUGUCCUGUGACUGCGUACCUUUUGUAUAAUGGGUCAGCGACUUAUAUUCAGUGGCAAGGUUAACCAUCUAGGGGAGCCGUAGGGAAACCGAGUCUUAACUGGGCGUUCAGUCUCUGGAUAUAGACCCGAAACCAGGUGAUCUAGCCAUGGGCAGGUUGAAGGUUGAGUAACAUCAACUGGAGGACCGAACCGACUAAUGUUGAAAAAUUAGCGGAUGACUUGUGGCUAGGGGUGAAAGGCCAAUCAAACCUGGAGAUAGCUGGUUCUCCCCGAAAGCUAUUUAGGUAGCGCCUCGGACGAAUACUACUGGGGGUAGAGCACUGUUAAGGCUAGGGGGUCAUCCCGACUUACCAACCCUUUGCAAACUCCGAAUACCAGUAAGUACUAUCCGGGAGACACACGGCGGGUGCUAACGUCCGUCGUGGAGAGGGAAACAACCCAGACCGCCAGCUAAGGUCCCAAAUUACUACUAAGUGGGAAACGAUGUGGGAAGGCUCAGACAGCCAGGAUGUUGGCUUAGAAGCAGCCAUCAUUUAAAGAAAGCGUAAUAGCUCACUGGUCGAGUCGGCCUGCGCGGAAGAUGUAACGGGGCUAAGUAGUAAACCGAAGCUGCGGCAAUGUGCUUUUGCACAUUGGGUAGGGGAGCGUUCUGUAAGCGGUUGAAGGUGUGUGGUAACGCAUGCUGGACGUAUCAGAAGUGCGAAUGCUGACAUGAGUAACGAUAAAGGGGGUGAAAAACCUCCUCGCCGGAAGACCAAGGGUUCCUGUCCAACGUUAAUCGGGGCAGGGUAAGUCGACCCCUAAGGCGAGGCCGAAAGGCGUAGUCGAUGGGAAACGGGUUAAUAUUCCCGUACUUCUUACAAUUGCGAUGGGGGGACGGAGAAGGCUAGGUGGGCCUGGCGACGGUUGUCCAGGUUCAAGUGCGUAGGCUUAAGAGUUAGGUAAAUCCGGCUCUUUUUAAGGCUGAGACACGACGUCGAGCACCUACGGGUGUGAAGUCAUUGAUGCCAUGCUUCCAGGAAAAGCCUCUAAGCUUCAGAUUGUAAGGAAUCGUACCCCAAACCGACACAGGUGGUCGGGUAGAGAAUACCAAGGCGCUUGAGAGAACUCGGGUGAAGGAACUAGGCAAAAUGGUACCGUAACUUCGGGAGAAGGUACGCUCUCGACGGUGAAGUCCCUCGCGGAUGGAGCUAUUGAGAGUCGCAGAUACCAGGUGGCUGCAACUGUUUAUUAAAAACACAGCACUGUGCAAAAUCGUAAGAUGACGUAUACGGUGUGACGCCUGCCCGGUGCCGGAAGGUUAAUUGAUGGGGUUAGACUUCGGUCGAAGCUCUUGAUCGAAGCCCCGGUAAACGGCGGCCGUAACUAUAACGGUCCUAAGGUAGCGAAAUUCCUUGUCGGGUAAGUUCCGACCUGCACGAAUGGCGUAAUGAUGGCCACGCUGUCUCCACCCGAGACUCAGUGAAAUUGAAAUCGCUGUGAAGAUGCAGUGUACCCGCGGCUAGACGGAAAGACCCCGUGAACCUUUACUACAGCUUGGCACUGAACAUUGACCCUACAUGUGUAGGAUAGGUGGGAGGCUUUGAAGCACGUACGCCAGUAUGUGUGGAGCCGUCCUUGAAAUACCACCCUUGUAGUGUUGAUGUUCUAACGUUGACCCCUUAUCGGGGUUGCGGACAGUGCCUGGUGGGUAGUUUGACUGGGGCGGUCUCCUCCCAAAGAGUAACGGAGGAGCACGAAGGUGGGCUAAUCACGGUUGGACAUCGUGAGGUUAGUGCAAUGGCAUAAGCCCGCUUGACUGCGAGAAUGACAAUUCGAGCAGGUGCGAAAGCAGGUCAUAGUGAUCCGGUGGUUCUGAAUGGAAGGGCCAUCGCUCAACGGAUAAAAGGUACUCCGGGGAUAACAGGCUGAUACCGCCCAAGAGUUCAUAUCGACGGCGGUGUUUGGCACCUCGAUGUCGGCUCAUCACAUCCUGGGCUGAAGUCGGUCCCAAGGGUAUGGCUGUUCGCCAUUUAAAGUGGUACGCGAGCUGGGUUUAGAACGUCGUGAGACAGUUCGGUCCCUAUCUGCCGUGGGCGUUGGAAGAUUGAAGGGGGCUGCUCCUAGUACGAGAGGACCGGAGUGGACGAACCUCUGGUGUUCGGGUUGUGUCGCCAGACGCAUUGCCCGGUAGCUAAGUUCGGAAUCGAUAACCGCUGAAAGCAUCUAAGCGGGAAGCGAGCCCUGAGAUGAGUCUUCCCUGAUACUUUAAGUAUCCUAAAGGGUUGUCGGAGACUACGACGUUGAUAGGUCAGGUGUGUAAGUGCUGUGAGGCAUCUGAGGCUAACUGAGUACUA
rnacentral:rRNA from 1 species